rnacentral:rRNA from 1 species
CCCUUAGAUGUUCUGGGCCGCACGCGCGCUACACUGACGAUGGCAACGAGUUUUUCCUUCGCCGAAAGGUGUGGGUAAUCUUUUGAAACAUCGUCGUGCUGGGGAUAGAUCAUUGCAAUUUUUGAUCUUGAACGAGGAAUUCCUAGUAAGCGCGAGUCAUCAGCUCGCGUUGAUUACGUCCCUGCCCUUUGUACACACCGCCCGUCGCUACUACCGAUUGGGUGUGCUGGUGAAAUGUUCGGAUCGGCCGUUUGUCGCGGUUUCCGCGUCAUGUGGCUGAGAAGUUCAUUAAACCCUCCCACCUAGAGGAAGGAGAAGUCGUAACA